GAUGAACCCACUUCGGUGGGGGAUUAGUGGCGAACGGGUGAGUAACACGUGGGCAAUCUGCCCUGCACUCUGGGACAAGCCCUGGAAACGGGGUCUAAUACCGGAUACGACCACUUCAGGCAUCUGAUGGUGGUGGAAAGCUCCGGCGGUGCAGGAUGAGCCCGCGGCCUAUCAGCUUGUUGGUGAGGUAACGGCUCACCAAGGCGACAACGGGUAGCCGGC
rnacentral:rRNA from 1 species